AUGGUUGCGGCGGAGAAGACCAAUCAGAGGCCGGAAAUGUCUACGGUGAGCGUAGACAUUGCCCUCCCCGGCUGCUCGCUCGUGAGCGAAUUCCCCAAAUGUGGGAAUCUCAACUGCAUAAUUUGUGGUAGUGGGGGACUGCGUUCGCGCUCUCCCCUG
rnacentral:snRNA from 1 species